CAUGACUGGAUAAAGUCAGGGAAAGUCUGUCUAUUUUACGUUGGAUGUUACGUCGAAAAUUGAAUGACACGAAAUUCAACAAGAUAAGCGUUCACAAAAGGUUUCGUGUUAGGCUAUAAAAAAUGUAUUUAACCGAACAAAAGACCAUUCAUUGUGUAACAAUGAGCCUUGGGAUUGCAACCAGAGCAAGAUCUUCAAAAGAAACAUGUAUGGAGCCAGUACAUGGAGACUUGCAAGAUGAUGUGAUGAAGUCCAGACUGACAGACAGCUUGAUACUGAUGUCUUUGAAUGGAGAGAGACCUGGCACUCUGUAAAUCUUUUAAAAAAUUGUAUCAAGCACGGAGGGUCUUGCCUUCAUGUGUUGUUUGUGCUAUUCAACGCAAAUAUCCCUUGCCGACAGGAAUCUACGUGGGAUUCAAAGAGGCAGAUGAUGUGAUUGGCCUAUAGUAAUUACACUACGAUGACUCAGCUUGUCAGCCAGACAUUGCCUAAACAACACAUUUUGUUAAAUCACUCCAAUAAACCAGUACAUUCUAUUUUCUUACAAUCACAGUAAUAAAUGACAUUAUUUGAACCAGUAA